ACUGCCCACGCCCGCAGCUCCGCCAUGCCUGUCUGGGAAAGAAAAUGUGACCAGUCCGGUGAAAACAGGAAGUUGUGAUGACGCAUACCACUGGCGAGAAACGAACACGUAAAGAUAACCUUGAAAUAAUGGAGGCUAUUUUGGCUCAAUGAACUCACCAUCUAAUCAAUAUUCAAGCUCAUCAUUUCUGCACUUGGAAAGUCAACAAAAGAAGCUGAACUCUCCAUAUUUGACAAGCAACACUCACCGGGCAAAGCCCUGAGGAAGCUCCCCGAGACCAUAGAGAGGAUAGAGGUAGGGGGACUUGCCAUAGCGGGCAAGGGAAUCACUGUACAGCUUAAUUCUCUUCAGGCUGUCUCCUGCUGGCUUGGCCAAGUAGUCAUCAUCCCUGUGGAAGGAUUACAUUAAUGAUCACUGACCUUGACACUUGACACAGACCUACACUAUCUUUGGUAAAAAAUCACAACAUAUAGAACAAGCUCAAAACUUGUGUAUACACACACUGAACUAACUUGCUUAUCAUGGAUGCAGGUGAAGGAUGGCAGAUGGCAUGACUAUAGCUUUGAAAAGUAAGCCAAGUGAGAAUGUUGGCUGUUUGUCAUGAGUGCUUAGAGUAAACUGAUAAAAAUACAUUGAUGCCAACAGCACUGCAUGAAGCUGAAAGAUGCAUUGAGGAAAAUGAGGAAAUGAAAGGAGCUAGAGCCAUGACAAACAGCGGCAUUACCUGUAGAGUGCCAAAGCAUGUCCGGUGAAGUCAAUGGUGUGCUUGUCAAGGUUGCAGUGAGCAAACACCUCACUCAUGGUGGUGGUCUUGGGGUCAAAGCCUGGGAUGGCCUUCCAGGU